CAUGCAGGCGGUCGGGCAAGUAGGAUGUGGAAGCCCCGGGCUCAACCUGGGAACUGCAUUCUAAACUGUCCGACUAGAGUAUUGCAGGGGGAGACGGAAUUCCAGGUGUAGCGGUGGAAUGCGUAGAUAUCUGGAAGAACACCAAAGGCGAAGGCAGUCUCCUGGGCAAAUACUGACGCUCAUAUGCGAAAGCGUGGGUAGCAAACA
rnacentral:rRNA from 1 species